rnacentral:rRNA from 1 species
AUCGCCUACGGGGGGCAGCAGUGGGGGAUAUUGCACAAUGGGGGCAACCCUGAUGCAGCGACGCCGCGUGAGCGAUGGAGUACUUCGGUAUGUAAAGCUCUGUCAGCAGGGAAGAGAAUGACGGUACCUGACCAAGAAGCCCCGGCUAAAUACGUGCCAGCAGCCGCGGUAAUACGUAUGGGGCAAGCGUUAUCCGGAUUUACUGGGUGUAAAGGGAGCGUAGACGGCUGUGCAAGUCUGAAGUGAAAGCCCAGGGCUCAACCCUGGGACUGCUUUGGAAACUGUGGAGCUAGAGUGCUGGAGAG